rnacentral:lncRNA from 1 species
UGCUGAUUGCCAGCUUUGGGGUUUCUCUGGAGACAGUUUGCUGUGAUUGUAGGACAUUAAGAAAUAUCUUAUUUUAUAGAAAGAUGAGGGACUCUGGCAAACACUGAAUAGCAUGAUCAAAUCAUUGACAAGAAUGACUUAGAGUUUGUUUCCUUUCCCCAAACUAUUUAUUCAGCGCGUUUGAAGGCAAGCUGUGAAUAUUAUGUAAAGAAAUCUGCCAGCAUGCAAUCUCCAAGAAAAGAUUUCAGAUUUAAUUUCAGGCUCAGGGCAGCUAACAGGAAGAACUGUUACACUGUUCUAACUGAAGGGCCGAAGCUAAAACUUCCAAAGUAGCUAAAAAUUUAGAGUAUUUAACGCUCAUAUUUUCAUGUUAGAGUUCUGCAGUGCUGAAAGUCAUCUGCAUGCAAGAAAGUGAACAAAAACCCCACUGGCGUGAAAUAAUUGUUUGUCAUCAGUUGAGGAAACUAAGAUGCUGAUCCUGAAGCUGAACGUUACACGGGCACCCGGUACCGCAGAGAGGGACCAGACAGGUCUGGUUUUGAUCUGCCCACUCUGCAUGAACGAAGCAACAGAAAACAGGAUCUGAUUGUACCAGCCGACCUGAGUUCACACACACGUAGCCUUAUCAAGUGGAGACUAUUCACACAGUCACACAGUCACGCUGGCUAUAAUGGAGUAAUCAUUAUGCUGAUCUUCCAGACUGUUUAAGAGGCCUUCCCUCCCCCUCGAAACACCCGUGCUGGCUGAGACUGCCGAGGGGUUGAACUGAGAUUUAUGUGAAAACUCCACGAGCAGCUUAUCCUGAAACUGGUGAGAAAACGAAGACUGCUGCUUUCAUGGCCCCUGAAAUUCCAGCAUGAUUUUAAACAAAGACGACACCUCUUAUUUCCCGAGAAAUAUUAAAACAGUCUAGG